rnacentral:rRNA from 1 species
CCUANGGGUGGCAGCAGUGGGGAAUUUUGGACAAUGGGCGCAAGCCUGAUCCAGCCAUACCGCGUGAGUGAAGAAGGCCUUCGGGUUGUAAAGCUCUUUCAGCCGGAAAGAAAUCGCACUGGUUAAUACCUUGUGUGGAUGACGGUACCGGAAGAAGAAGCCCCGGCUAACUACGUGCCAGCAGCCGCGGUAAAACGUAGGGGGCUAGCGUUGUUCGGAAUUACUGGGCGUAAAGCGCGUGUAGGCGGCUUGGAUAGUCGGAAGUGAAAGCCCCAGGCUCAACUUGGGAAUUGCUUUCGAAACUGCCAGGCUUGAGUGCGGGAGGGGAGAGCGGAAUUCCAGGUGUAGCGGUGAAAUGCGUAGAUAUCUGGAGGAACACCGGUGGCGAAGGCGGCUCUCUGGACCGUAACUGACGCUGAGACGCGAAAGCGUGGGUAGCAAACAGGAUUAGAUACCCUUNUANUC